rnacentral:rRNA from 1 species
GACGUAGGGCGCGAGCGUUGUCCGGAUUUAUUGGGCGUAAAGAGCUCGUAGGCGGCUUGUCGCGUCGUCCGUGAAAACUUGGGGCUCAACCCCAAGCUUGCGGUCGAUACGGGCAGGCUAGAGUUCGGUAGGGGAGACUGGAAUUCCUGGUGUAGCGGUGAAAUGCGCAGAUAUCAGGAGGAACACCGGUGGCGAAGGCGGGUCUCUGGGCCGAUACUGACGCUGAGGCGCGAAAGCGUGGGGAGCGAACCGG